UAGUAGCGAAGUUCCUGAUGUCACACUGCCAAGAAAAGCUUCUAGUGAGAAAGUAACUGCCCGUACCGCAAACCGACACAGGUAGUUGAGGAGAGAAUCCUAAGGUGUGCGAGAGAACUCUCGUUAAGGAACUCGGCAAAAUGACCCCGUAACUUCGGGAGAAGGGGUGCUGACCGCAAGGUCAGCCGCAGUGAAUAGGCCCAAGCGACUGUUUAUCAAAAACACAGGUCUCUGCAAAAUCGAAAGAUGACGUAUAGGGGCUGACGCCUGCCCGGUGCUGGAAGGUUAAGAGGAGAGGUUAGCGCAAGCGAAGCUUUGAAUUGAAGCCCCAGUAGACGGCGGCCGUAACAAUAACGGUCCUAAGGUAGCGAAAUUCCUUGUCGGGUAAGUUCCGACCCGCACGAAAGGCGUAACGAUUUGGGCACUGUCUCAACGAGAGACUCGGUGAAAUUAUAGUACCAGUGAAGAUGCUGGUUACCCGCGACAGGACGGAAAGACCCCAUGGAGCUUUACUGCAGUUUGAUAUUGCGUGUUUGUAUCACAUGUACAGGAUAGGUAGGAGCCGAAGAUACCGGGACGCCAGUCUCGGAGGAGGCAACGGUGGGAUACUACCCUUGUGAUAUGACCACUCUAACCCGCUGCUCUUAGCGAGCAGGGAGACAGUGUCAGACGGGCAGUUUGACUGGGGCGGUCGCCUCCAAAAAUGUAACGGAGGCGCCCAAAGGUUCCCUCAGAAUGGUUGGAAAUCAUUCGUAGAGUGUAAAGGCAGAAGGGAGCUUGACUGCGAGACCUACAAGUCGAGCAGGGACGAAAGUCGGGCUUAGUGAUCCGGUGGUUCCGCAUGGAAGGGCCAUCGCUCAACGGAUAAAAGCUACCCUGGGGAUAACAGGCUUAUCUCCCCCAAGAGUUCACAUCGACGGGGAGGUUUUGGCACCUCGAUGUCGGCUCAUCGCAUCCUGGGGCUGUAGUCGGUCCCAAGGGUUGGGCUGUUCGCCCAUUAAAGCGGUACGCGAGCUGGGUUCAGAACGUCGUGAGACAGUUCGGUCCCUAUCCGUCGCGGGCGUUGGAAAUUUGAGAGGAGCUGUCCUUAGUACGAGAGGACCGGGAUGGACACACCGCUGGUGUACCAGUUGUUCUGCCAAGAGCAUCGCUGGGUAGCUAUGUGUGGACGGGAUAAACGCUGAAAGCAUCUAAGCGUGAAGCCCCCCUCAAGAUGAGAUUUCCCAUCACUUUAAGUGAGUAAGACCCCUGAGAGAUGAUCAGGUAGAUAGGUUGGGAGUGGAAGUACAGCGAUGUAUGGAGCGGACCAAUACUAAUCGGUCGAGGACUUAACCGA
rnacentral:rRNA from 1 species